rnacentral:rRNA from 1 species
CAGUCGGCGGGAAAACGAGGGGGGCAAGCGUUGUUCGGAAUUACUGGGCGUAAAGCGCACGUAGGCGGCUUGGUAAGUUAGAGGUGAAAGCCCGGAGCUCAACUCCGGAAUUGCCUUUAAGACUGCCGAGCUAGCAGGUGAGAGAGGUAAGUGGAAUUCCGAGUGUAGAGGUGAAAUUCGUAGAUAUAGGAAGGAACACCAGUGGCGAAGGCGACCACCUGGGCUCAUACUGACACUGAGGUGCGAAAGCGUGGGGAGCAAACAGGAUUAGAUACCCCGGUAGUCCCUGUCUCUUAUACAC